GAAGGAAGGAAGGAAGGAAGGAAGGAAGGAAGGAAGGAAAUAAUGGGAGAGUGAUUCUACCUGUGAUAUAACUGGUAUAGGAAAUUUCCAGGAGAAUGACAGCCUUAUCAUUUGGAAGAUCUCACAAGUCAUCCAGCCAGUCAACCUCCUAAGAGCUGAAUUCUCUCUACAAACCCAAGGACCAACCUACCAUUCCACUAAAUUUCUCUAAUUACAGAGAACUCGUUACCACAAGAUGCAACCAAUCAAAAAGCAUUUAUGGUCAGGUCUUGGACCAGUUUCUGGGAAUACAAAGAAAAAAAAAGAAAA